rnacentral:rRNA from 1 species
AGUGAAUAGAUACCCUGGUAGUCCUAGCCGUAAACGAUACUCGCUAGGUGUCGGCCACGGUGCGACCGUUGUCGGUGCCGUAGGGGAGCCGUGAAGCGAGCCACCUGGGAAGUACGGCCGCAAGGCUGAAACUUAAAGGAAUUGGCGGGGGAGCACCACAACGGGUGGAGCUUGCGGUUUAAAUUGGAUUCAACGCCGGAAAUCUUACCGGGACCGACAGCGAUAUGAAGGCCAGGCUGAAGACUUUGCCGGAUUAGCUGAGAGGUGGUGCAUGGCCGUCGUCAGUUCGUACUGUGAAGCAUCCUGUUAAGUCAGGCAACGAGCGAGACCCACGCCCACAGUUGCCAGCGUACUCUCCGGAGUGACGGGUACACUGUGGGGACCGCCGCUGCUAAAGCGGAGGAAGGAAUGGGCAACGGUAGGUCAGUAUGCCCCGAAUAUCCCGGGCUACACGCGAGCUACAAUGGUUGGAACAAUGGGUAUCUACCCCGAAAGGGGAUGGAAAUCUCCUAAAUCCAAUCUUAGUUCGAAUUGAGGGCUGCAACUCGCCCUC